rnacentral:misc_RNA from 1 species
ACGAAAGGUUCGACGCACUCUUUAACUGGUCCUCGAGAUUGCCCGCUGAGAAAUUCAUUAAGAACCCUUCGUUAAUGGCGCCAUCCGUAGUUUCACAAAAAAGAGACAUAGAGGAGGAAUAGGAUUAGUUCGAAAACUGCGCAUAACUUCCAUUUUACGAUACCUAAGCUCCGAAUCUUACGCAUCAAAAGAGAAAAUAAACGAGAAAUAGCGAAGAGAGGGAAAGAAAGACAGCGUAAAUCAAGCUGGUAGCAGAAGCUGGUCCCAGAGC